CCAGUGAUAGCUCAGUGGUUAAGGUGUUGGUCUACUGCUCAGAAGAUCUUGAGUUCAAAUGCCAUUGUUGAA